CGGGUGUCAACUCGGUGGCGAAGUCAAGAGACACGUGUCUGCCUGUGAAGUGGAGAAACGCGUUUCCACAGAGGCGACUGUUUGCGUGGGAAAGUGUAUGCAUAUUUAAUAGAAGAGUGGGCAGCGAUAAUUCGGAGAGAUCUGGCUCACCAAGUGGGCAAAGUGAAGCAGGGGCGUGAGAGGGCUGCUGGUGACAAGUUUUCACUUGAUCAGCUGCUCAUCCCACACGGUUGCGCCGCGCUCUAGAGGUCAGGUUCGGUGUUUGGCGGCAACUUUUGGCUGCAAUUUCAAACCCAUACGACGGGGAAAGCUUUGCUAAAUCCUCGGCAUGACUAGAGAAAAUAAGCUUAUUUUGUUUGUGUUUUUUUUUUUUUUUUAGCUAAAUGUUUUUAUUUGUCGAGCCCGGCUGUAUUUCUAAGCGGUAGGAACCUCACACACAAAGCCAGCGCGUUUCAGUCUGCAGAUGCAGCCGAAGGCUGCUGAGCUGGAGGAGGGAUCUGACUGGUGCACAUUUUGGACGCAUGUGAAACGGCGCAGUCCAUGAUGAUGAAGAUGAUGAUGCUGGCUGCAGCUCUGCAGACAAUCGCGGCAGCUGAGUGAGCCGUGAGGUGCUGCCCAGGGUGCUGAGGAGUCGCCGUGUCCCCGCCACCUCCUCCCCCUUCCUGCCCGUCCAGACUGCACGCGUGAACAGCCGUGGAUGCCGAGCAGCGUAACACGGCCCGAGUAAAUAAAUGGGACCGCACGUCGUCCGAGCGUUUGAGAUAUCAUGGAGAGAUUUUUCCUGCUCGUCCUCAGCGGCUGCCUCGGCGUCUCUCGAGUCACGGCGGAUAGCCUGUCGCCUCCCGUCAAUGUGACCAUCAAAGAGGUGAAAGCAAACUUUGCUGUGGUGGCAUGGGACAUCCCCGAGGGAGACCCCGUCAUUGGCUUUGCCAUCACACAGCAGAAGAAAGACGUGCGCAUGCUGCGGUUCAUCCAGGAAGUCAACACCACCACGCGCACCUGUGCAUUAUGGGACUUGGAGGAGGAGACAGACUACAUUGUGCACGUCCAGUCCGUCAGCAUGUCCGGGACGAGCCCGCUGAGCGAACCGCUGCGCUUCCGAACCCCAAAGGAGGCCGAGACACAGGCCUCUAAGAACGAAGUGACCAUGGAGGAGGUGGGUCAGGCGACUCAGCUGAGGGCUGGAGAGCUCAUCAUCAUUGUGGUCGUACUCAUCAUGUGGGCAGGUGUGAUUGCCCUCUUCUGUCGUCAAUAUGACAUAAUCAAAGACAACGAGCCCAACAACAACAAGGACAAAGCCAAAAACUCCUCAGAGUGCAGCACUCCUGAACACCCGACGGGGGGGCUGCUGCGCAGUAAGGUAUAACCCACCCCUCUGCUCCCUCUCCUCUCCCUGGGUGCCUCCCCUCUCAGCGACUCUGGCCAGUUCCCCAAGAACAACAACAACAACAGGUUGCCAUCUGUCAACAUCAUUGAGGUGUGACUGCCGUUAAGUCUUUUCUUUACUCAGAAGACUUCAUGCAAACAACGAGCCCCUUUUAGGUCCAUCAGCUGUCAGGAUGACGCUGGGACAGAGGGACUCUAGGCGUGCAGGCGCCGCUUUCUCUUCUUCAACACCGGUUCUGGUGUGGAGGUGAAGCUGCAGGGACUCCAGAGGACGUGGCAGAAUGAGGCUGAGUUCGGCCUCAUUUUCUAGGAGAGCAGAAAGACUGAAGGAAGAGUUCAGCAGCAGGUCUGUGCUCAGUGACAGUACAUUGGGUUCACGGUUAUUAGUGUUGUGGAGAGACUGCAGACGAACCAACUCCAGGGACCAAGGCUGAUCAAACAGAGCCAGAAACCGUUACCGGAAGAAUUUGUACUUAACUUUUCCGGGUGGUACUUUAAACUUCUUUUAACGCUUAUUUCCUCAUGGGCUUACCCAGUAUGUUUGAUGUUUUGGUAUCUGUUUGGGCUUUUUCAGUAAAUCUCCAAGUGCAGAGACUCUUUGCUGUUCUGGUACAUUUGUAUUCCCCCCUCAGGGAAUCCAGACUUCAGCCGGGUAACAAAAGAGCCAUUUCCAGUACAGGCUGCAAUGUCACCAGAGCAGCUUUAGAGGGAUCAGUCGGCUAAAAUCACUCACUGUUAUUAACUCAUAUAUAUGGCAUAGUUCUUCAAGUCUGGCCUGUAAUUUCUCUCAUCUUUUUUAUUAUAGACUUCUAAAAUGUAACAUUCCUCUCCCUCAACGAGCCCUUUAGUACCUCCUGGUGUCUUUCUUUUUGAGCGUGAUGGAUUUCACGUCAUUUUUGUGAACAGCAGAACUCCCCUAAUGGAGUUCAUUCAUCUAAUUAAUUAACUAUAAAUGGGGCUGGACUCUACGGACGUCUGAGGAGAAUAGAUCCCUUCAAUCAGCAAUAACAGCCCCUCCGAGGAAACGAAGGAAGUCAGGACUUGAACUCUGGAUCCUCUGACACAGGAAAACUGUCAGCAUGUCAUAGAUUAACAAACUGGACGUUCAAGUAUGCUGGAAUAAACCUUGGGUAUCAUUUUUAAGUGAUCCUCAAAAAACCCUUUUCAGCUCUGUUGAAAAAAUAAAUAAAUAAAAAUAUUUCUUUUGGCAAGCAUGGAAAAAAAUAUUUUUUAAAUCGGGCCCAACUGGGGGACCCUGAGACUUCUUUACAGCAUCCUGAACAGAUGUCGAGACAGAAGGGCUUCUUUCAAGACUUUUUGAAUUAUUAUUACGAACAUGCGUUUAAAGUCCAUGGUAAUGAGAAUAGCUAUUGUGGUAAGCGCAUACAUGAUGUAUUUGAGGGCUGAUUUACACUCAGUAGUACUGCCUUAACACUAAUUGUAUCCCAUAACUUAUAAGAUGUUUGGCUUUGUAUCUCACUUUUGUGGCAUUAUAUUUACCCUUCACCCAGUAUUUAAAUGUUUGUGCAAAGUGAAGGGAAACGUAACAUGUGGUUUGAAGGAGUUGGCAAGUAUCUGAUAUGUAAAUAUAUUUUAAAUGUCUUAUUUAGUACAGUCAGUCUAGAGAGGCUUUGUGGAAUAAGGCUGAUGUAAAUGUCUCAAUUUGUAGGGAAGCUAGGAGUUCACAUUUUUGUCAAAACUGUUGAGUUUUAUGGAAAGCAUUUUUCAAAAAGACAAAACAAAGACUUCAACUACUCUUAUGAAUUUUUAUUAUGUCACUAUGCCUUUUAUGUUCAAAAGGAGGAGUUGGUAGAAGCGAGUACUGAAAAAGAAAAAGCUCUGGCUUGUAUAAAUCAGAAAAUGGGCUGCAAAUAGUCCAAAACAUGCCAAACACUGACGCCCCUUCAGUCUUGAGCACAAAGAAAAAGGAGGAGGUAAAUGGAGAUCAGUGAAGGUUACAGUUGAGUGGAGUGGACAGAACGAUGACUAAUUUAAUGGCAGACUUUUAUCACCAUUAUCCGGCUCUCACUCUUGCAUCUUUGGCACAGCUCUUAGGAAAAAAAAGGAGAAAAAGUUCAAGACUGUGCUCCUCCAGUGAGCAGAGGCCGAUGUCAGAGUGUGAUUUUAAAGUCAGGUUCGUUGGGACUUUCCAUCUAAUUAAACUCAUUUAGCGUUAGUCAAACUUCUCGGUGCUCUGCAGCCACAUCAGCAAUUCACAGCAAACUUAACACAACUCAAAGCUUAUUUACACAAUAACAGACACUCGGAUGUUUACUUUGACUUAUUUACCAGCAUUAUUUAUUAUUAUCACCAAUAUACCACGACUACUUACAGAAAGUCUCAACUUUUUUAAAGGAGCACAUUUCCUAUAAAUGGGGUCAACAUCAGUGUACAUCUUAACCUUUUGUGUAAAUAUUAAAAUUCUAUUUACUGAAUUUGAUGGAUGUCGUAAGAAAUGCUUUUUUGAAAUUGUCCAACUUUGCGUAAAGUUACAAGGUGGAAGGUUUUUGAAGACGAAUCUUUGUUACACCAUCCUGUUUUAAGACAAACUUCCUUAAAUAUAGAAAAAUAAAAUCAAUUUAAUUUCCCCUGUCAAUUCUGAUGAAUCAUCAUGACUAAUUCAAAACAACAAUUUUCCUCUUUCUUCAUGUUGAGAUGCAUUUUCCCAGACUCGAGACUAAAAUUAUUCACUUUUACGCCAGUGGACAAGCUAUAUUGAAGAGGAAAUGACAAAAGAUGAAAACAUGGAAAAGUGAAUUGAUAGUGGGGAAAAUGGGUUGAUGGGUGAACAGUUCUACUGGACUUCUAAUGCUGGUUGUAAGUCUUUAUUUACAAAUAUUUUUCAAUUUUAUUUUCUUGUUGAACCUGGAAUAUUCCUCAAAUAAAAUUCCAGCAUGAAAUUUACAUGAGGUCAAUUUGUAAAGUCGAACCACUAUGAGUUUAAGCAGUGUCCAGAAACAGGAAAUUAAUAGAAAUGGGAAAACAUUUCCCAUUUCUAUUAAUGGACUGGUGGGUGAAAGCAACUUUUAAAGGAGAUGGGGAGCGGUCUGAAAAUGCAGACUUUUCUACACUCUGGAAAAUUCAGACUUGCAUUUCUAGAAUUUUCAGUAAUUUUAUCCUAAAUUUAAGGCACAAAUACAAAAGUUCAUGAUGAGCUUAUGGCAAGUAUUUCUUCAGCAAGGAAGAUUUAAUUUUAAAACAAGCAAAAAAAGACAAAAAAGUGAAAAGACAGAUCAUGGAGAAAUGCAUGAAUAGACAGACAAGACUAUAUAUUAAAUCUUUAAAUGACACGAUAAAGUUUCCAGACUGUGGAGGAAACUUUCUGAAAUGAACCAUGGAAACAUACUAAGAGACAUCCCAACUCAGAGAGUCAAUGGGUUGGUAAAAAUAAUUCUGUCAUUAAAGUUAUGAGUCCCGUUUGGGGCUUUUCUUUCCCCCAUGAUAACUUUUCACCAUUGUUAGCAUGCCUGUUUGAAACGUACUAUAUUAGACAAUGCUUGUGAACUGACACUACUAAAUUUGGAUGCCAGCUUUGACCCACUGAUCUUACUAACCUGGCAAUUUAACGCAAAAAAAAACAAACACAUUUCUAGUUGAAUCGAACUAAACUACUUUACCGCUUUACUGAUUUUUUUUCCAUUUGAUGUAAUUGUGGACCGCCCCAUAAAUAACUCAAAAGAUCCUCCAUUUUUAAGCAGAUUGUGAAUAUGU